rnacentral:rRNA from 1 species
UACCAGCACCCCGAGUGGUCGGGACGAUUAUUGGGCCUAAAGCAUCCGUAGCCGGUUCUGCAAGUCCCCGUUAAAUCCAGCUGCUCAACAGAUGGGCCGCGGAGGAUACUACAGAGCUAGGAGGCAGGAGAGGCAAGCGGUACUCAGUGGGUAGGGUAAAUCCGUUGAUCCAUUGAAGACCACCAGUGGCGAAGGCGGCUUGCCAGAAUGCGCUCGGCGGUG